AUUUGAAUCACACAGGGGUAUUAUUAAAAUGCAAAUUCUGAUUCAGAAGAUCUAUAGUGGGCUUAGAUUCUGCAUUUUUAGUAAGUGCCCAGGUGAUGCUGAC
rnacentral:pre_miRNA from 1 species